rnacentral:rRNA from 1 species
GCACCUUCGGUGUCCGAGUUGUAAUUUGAAGAUUGUAACCUUGGGGUUGGCUCUUGUCUAUGUUUCUUGGAACAGGACGUCACAGAGGGUGAGAAUCCCGUGCGAUGAGAUGCCCAAUCCUAUGUAAGGUGCUUUCGAAGAGUCGAGUUGUUUGGGAAUGCAGCUCUAAGUGGGUGGUAAAUUCCAUCUAAAGCUAAAUAUUGGCGAGAGACCGAUAGCGAACAAGUACAGUGAUGGAAAGAUGAAAAGAACUUUGAAAAGAGAGUGAAAAAGUACGUGAAAUUGUUGAAAGGGAAGGGUUUGAGAUCAGACUCGAUAUUUUGUGAGCCUUGCCUUCGUGGCGGGGUGACCCGCAGCUUAUCGGGCCAGCAUCGGUUUGGGCGGUAGGAUAAUGGCGUAGGAAUGUGACUUUGCUUCGGUGAAGUGUUAUAGCCUGCGUUGAUGCUGCCUGCCUAGACCGAGGACUGCGAUUUUAUCAAGGAUGCUGGCAUAAUGAUCCCAAACC